UGUCGGUACAAAAUCAAACCAGUGAAAUAAGUUACGACGUUAAUAAUUUGAAAUAACUUGGAAACAUUAAACCAUUGCAGGAAAUUAAAACUUUACAACUGGAUUUUCAGGCAAUUUCUGCUCAAAUGCAUUCCUUUACUGUAAACGAAUGUGUACAUAGUCAAGAUUACCUUGCCUUAUAUAACAUUACGAUAGAACAAAAUUUAUAUGACGCAAG
rnacentral:lncRNA from 1 species